AGGUCUAAGCAGGCACAGAUAGAUAUGCAGAUAGAAAGGUAUAUGGAACUGAAAGCAUUAGCAGUAAUGAGCAGCUAUGAACUAGGAUCUAUCAAUGCCUCAAUCCAAUAGAAUGCAUGCAUGGAACUCAUAGUAAGAAGGCCAGCUAUCAUACUACUAUGUUCAACAACGAAGUUAUUCAUCCGAUUACCCAAUCUCUCGGCGAACGCAAGGCUCGCUCACAGUCUCACGUGUGUAAGUCUCAUAGGGGAGGAGGCUAGCAAUUCACCUACCCCGAGACCGCCUGCGGACACUACACUGGUCCAAGGGCACCACACUGGCCCCCUCGCGUGCCAACCUCCGGAGUGCACUACCCGUGAGGAGCUACCUCCACAGGUGCAGACAGGCUAAGUGAGCUCGAUCCAAUCUCAUAAACUGGGAACACCCUAACCAACUAAGAUUGGUGUCACGAUAGAAUCAGGUGUUCUUCUGCUCAAUCUCAUAGUGUCUCAACUACACUAAAGUUCUCAAGUUCAAUGUCAACUAGAUGCCACUCAUUCUGGGUUUAUUGUUAACUAGAUGCCACUCGUUCUCAUUACACUAGUUUACAAAAUACUAGGUUCUUAUUCACAUAGACAUAUUUAUCACAUAUAGGGUGAACUAUCUCAUAGUGUUCAACUCAUGCAUACUAGGUUCUCAUUCAUUGUAUCCACAACCUAAACUAUCACUAGCAUGCAAGGAUAUGUACAAUCACAUUUAACACCCUAUAAUGCUAUAUUACAAUAUGUAAUUGAUCGACAAUAGAACUCAGACAUAAAGAGCAGUUCGACUGCUUCGGGAUGGCACUCCCCCACCUCGUGGCGCUGUCGCGACUCUUCGAAUGCGAUUCGCCGACUUUUCGAUGCCUCGUUGGCCUUCCAGGCGGGAACGAAGCUCCGAGGGUCUACUUUGACGAUAACUUCGUACUCACUCGACGGAUCGACGAACCAUCUUCGCCGACGCGUUUAGGGACCUAGCAAUUAGGUUUGCGACCACUCAAAUUAGAUCAAAACCCUAGCUUUGCCAAAAUCCCAAAUCGGAGCCCUAGGUCUAAAUAAUGGAGAAAUCCGCGGUGCGAGCUUCAAAUUCGAGCUCGAACCUUCUCCCUAGCUUCAAUAGGUUCCAUUCGAACCAAUUCUAAGCUAUAAAACCCUAGCUUGCAAAAUCCACCAUGAAAGGGUUUGAGGUUUACCUCAAUACCAAGCUCCCCGCUUGAGGAAGAGAAGAAGAUGAUCUUCUUCUUCUUCUUCUCAGUCUUCUCCUUCAUCUUUCUCUUCUUCCUCUCCUUCUUCUUCCACUCCUUCCUCUUCUCCUUCUUCUUUUCUUUCCUAGGGAGAGAGAGAGAGGGAAAGAGUGUGAGAGAGAGAGAGAGCAAAUGAGAGGGAGAGAGGGGUCCCCCAUCUCUCAUAUAAGCCACUUUGCAAAUAGCCCCCUCAACUUUUUCAUCCUCUGCAGCAGCCCUCACUGGGCAUUUUUGCAGUGAGGGACCGGUCCCAGCUCGGGGAGACCGGUCCCCGAGAGCCUUCCAUCUCGGCAGAGGGGAUUUCGCGUUCGGGAACCGGUCCCUUCCUGAGAGACCAGUCCCCGGGAGACCGGUCCUUGUCCGAGAGACCGGUUCCCGAGAGUUGGGUUUUCGGGACUUAGCCAAAUUUUGGAUAUUCUCGCUGGGCUAACGUUCGGGGACCGGUCCUCCGCUGCCAGGGGCCGGUCUCAUCAAAGACCCCCGCAGCCCAGCCCGAUGGGACCGGUCCCUCCCUGCCAGGGACCGGUCCCCGAGAGCAUUUCUGCUCCAGUGCAGAUUUUGCACUGGUGCUCUCGUGGACCCUUCCUUAAUGCACUUUAUGCAUUAUAAUCACUUUCGGACUUUCCGAAGCUUACACACUCGACAAAUAGUCGAUUCAAUCGAAGUCUAAUCCCCGGAUUUCGAGGAUUCACUUCCCUUACAGUUUCAGAUGUGGGGAUUUGAACCCCGGAUAGCUCAGUGUCCCCUGCUUAGCAUUGAUGCUAGUACUGGAUCUAAGCCUCAAGAGAAAUCUACUACUUCAGCAGGUCGUGAUCAUAUCCCUCCUACCGAUCAGUCCAGAGGUGGAAGACCUCGGACGCAGGGUCAUGUUCAGGCUCUUUCUCAGCAGGAUGUUCAGGCAUCUAAUGCUGUAGUCCCUGGUAUUCUUUCCAUAGCUUCUGUUUUUGCUCGUGCUCUCUUUGAUUCUAGAACUACUUAUUUCUUUACCUCUUUUGCUUUUGUUCGAAAUCAUUUGUUAACCUCCGAGCCCUUUGUUUAUAUUUUUAUGUGUCGGGCGCCUUUCGGGGAUGAGCUUGUGAUUGAUCGCAUUUGUAGGAGUAUUGUCUGAGUAGACAAUAUCUUGAUUUAUGCUAGUAGUUCCGUAAUGCAACCAUUCUGAGCGGGAAGCUACUUAGGAGCUCGAAGAGCAGACGAGAAUGAUGCAUCCUUAGUCCUUCGAGAGCUAAGAUAUGUUAAGUUUAGAGGACUAAACUUCUUUUUAGGAGGGGAGAAUGUAACACCCCGUACUUUUAAACUUCUUUAUUUGACUCAUAUUCUUAUUAAGUUUGGACCUUUUCGUAAAUUCCUAUCUUCGAGGGAUUCGGCGGCAUUUUGUUACUUAAUUAGUAUCUAAUUAAUUAAUUUUCUCCCUAACCCUCACCCGAUCAAUCCCUCUUUUUCCCCUCCCCUACGACUCGCUCUCUCUCUCUUCCUCACCAGUCACCGCAUCCGUACGACCUCUGUCGUUCCGCAAGUGCGCACGCGAUGCCAUCCGAUCGUCGCCGUCAUCCGUAGCCACCUCCGCCGCAAUCCUCUUUGGCCGUUAUUUUUGGUUUACUAUCGACGGCAUCCUGCCGUCAUCUUCACCAUUUUCGAGAAGGUUUUUCUCUUUCCCUUAUUUUAUCUCUAUAUCGAACCUUGUGAUCAUCCAACCUUCUUGUUUAUCGUUAUAUUAUUAUUUUGAAUACUUGCCUCAUGAUGAUCGAAAUUUAAAACUAUCAAAAUCUGAUUUGCUUUGAUCUAAAUAUGUGUUAUUCGAUCUAUCAUUUUAUCUUGUAUUCCUAUCUGAUUUAGUUAUAUAAAUCCUCCAUAUUCUGCAUGCUUCUUGUAAUGCUCCUUACAUGUUCGAUAAAAUGCCUAAGAGAGGGCGAACUUUGUUUUUGUUUCUAAUUCCGAUCCUAUCUUAUUGUAAAUUGCCUAUUAAUAUUUCAAUAUCUGAAAACCCUCUUUUCGAGCAUUAGACCCUUCGUUUAUUAUUUAAAACUUCAUUCAUCUUAUCUUGCUUCUUUGAAUAUUUUAGUUUUUGAAACUCUCAAUUCUCUUGAUUGUUAAUUCAGUUUCUUCGAGUUCAUUAUUCUAAAUCUCUUUCGUGCUCCGUCUUGCCCUUUUGCAUGCAUCUAUCGACCAUGUCACUACCCUGGAACAUCCGAAAUUCAAACUUUUGAUCAGCUUAGUCUAAUAUAUAUAUUUCUUUUAAUUAUUUACUAAAUAGCUAUAAGAAAUCGUACUAUCUCGAUCUUUAAGGUCCCGACCAUUAUCCGUGCCAAUUGAUUGAUAGCUCUUAACUUAAAGCCUCCUUUCGAGUAAACGACCGGCACACCCGAUGUUCUCAGUAAGAAAUUUAGAAAUAUAUCCCAUUGUAUAAAAAUCUAUUUUUGAACUUUAAAAAUUUAGGGGUUAGCCAUAUAUAUGAAAUAAUUUACCUAAAUUGACUUCAAACUGUGAUAUGACAAUAUCUUUUUAGCUAAAAUAAUUCUAUGAAACUCUGAUAAUCUGUCUGGUAAAUUAGUGACUGGAUAAUUUUGAAGUAAUAUGUCUCUGUAUUGCUAUCUAAUUUGGCCAUCGAAACCAUGUAUUUGUUCAAAGCGAGCUCGUCUUUAUUGGCACCUUCGUGUCCUCCCUAAUUUCGCCACCUUAGCUCUGUUCGCGCUACGGUCAUAUCUGUUUCACCUGCACCUCAAUGCUCCGUCGCCUGGCCUCCAUCGGUCCCUAUUUUGUUUACCUCGGCAGUCUUGAUCCUGCCAAUCCUGAAUCAUCAUACACUACGUUACGAUUGUCCGAGAACCGCUAAGAUCUCCCAAUCCUUUAUAGCGAAUAGACGAAAGCAAUUUAAAAAUUCAUAAAUUCAACACAAAUCUAAAUUUUUGAGGUAAAUCAGAUAAAUUCCUCUACAAAAUUUGGCAAACAAUUAACAAACCCAGCUCGUUAGCAAUUAAUUAUUCGUAUCAUCCCUCUUUAUUUGUAUGUAACUCAAUCAUAAUGUGGUGUAUUGUUGAUUAACACCAGGCUGAACCGCUUUGCUGCGGGUGGCUAACCCGAGUAAACGUUAGACUAGCUAUCUACCUUCGCAUCUCUAGCACUCUAUUAUAUUAUACCUAAACAUAUUAAUGUAGAAUAUUUUUUGGACAUCAUAAAUAUCGUUUGAUCUAUCUAUUUAUUCGUUAUCUGUACGUCCACUUUGUUAAUUAUGCAAUUAGUGGACCGAAUUAGGUGUUCUUGUAAACUUUAGUUACUAUAGAUUAAGAAUCAUGAUUAUAAUAACUUCACAUUUCUACUCUCAUCCUACUAUCUUUUGAAUUUAGUGGAAAAUUUGGUAGUCACCUUUUUGCUAGCUUCCGUGCUAUUCGUAACAGCCUUGACAUCUUUGCCAUCGUAGCAGUAUCGCCUCGUUACCAUCGAUUUGGGCGUGAAGAAGAAAAUUUGUCUACACCCGACCCCUAAGACAAUUAAACCGUUGGUCCAAAACCACAAGCCCAUAAAUGCUAACCAUCUAUCACUAGCAUAGGUCUCAAUAAACUGUCGAAUCAGUAUCCCAUCCGAUGUGGGACUCAUCGGGCGUGUGAAAACAUAGGGGUGUACGAUCAACCCACCUGUUCUAGACCCUGACUUCCCGGUCUUCCAAACAGAUCACAGACAAAGACAAACCAUCACCAUUACCAGGCGAUGAAAUUCUAGAGGUGGCUCCUACGGGUUCAAGAGGUGGCUCCCACCAAACCCGUUGGUGUAGCACUUUGUCCCGCAUAGUACUUAGUUCUCACACUUCCGGCUGGUAUUCGGCUCUGAUACCAAUUGCAACGACCCGACCCGCUAGCAACAAUAACUCGUUGGGCCCAAACCAUCGGCCCAAAAUGCUUAAGCCCAGUUAUUAUUACUAGCGUGUAGGUCUCAUAUAAACUGAUCGGAAUCAGUAUUCCAUCCGAUGUGGGACUAUUUCCUCCUCGUCGGGUCCAAACCAGAUCACAGACAGACAGAUCAGGACCAUUACCAGACGAUGUGAGAUUCUAGAGGUGGCUCCUACGGGUUCAAGAGGUGGCUUCCACCAAACACGUUGGUGUAGCACUUUGUCCCACAUAGCACUUAGUUCUCACACUUCCGGCUGGUAUUCGGCUCUGAUACCAAUUAUAAUGAUCCGACCCGCUAGCAACAAUAACUCGUUGGGCCAAACCACAGGCUCAAAAUGCUUAAGCCCAGUUAUUAUUACUAGCGUGUAGGUCUCAUAUAAACUGAUCGGAAUCAGUAUCCCAUCGAUGUGGGACUAUUGGGGGUGUUACACUUUUUAUGUAAUCUUUCUUUCCUCCUAUGAUCAGACAUGAUAAAUAGAAAGAUAUUAGAUAAUAUAUUAAUUAUUAUCUAUUCAUUCUUUUAUCUUUUAUUAUUCUAAUAUUUUCCUUAUCUACUGAGCGUUAAAAGAAUCUCCGUCAACCUCGUGCUUGCAGAAUCGUGAUUGUAGGAGGAGGAAUUCCGAUCGUACCUUGGGGUGAUUUUUUCAGUUAAUCCCAUACAUAAGAACAGGAAUACGCUUUCAGGUAAUGCCUCACAUGCUUCCAAAUAUGUCAAAUCUUUAUUUGAAUAUUUGUAUUUAUCUGUAAGUUCGAUUUUAUUUUUAUCACAAAAUAAGUUAGAUUUUAAUCACGAUCGAAAUUUUAGUGCAGCUUUUUCCUAACACAGGCAGCAUUGUGGGACUCCAAAAGGAAAGGACGGAAUUAGUUGAAUUUGAAAGAUCAAUAUCCGAAACCAUGCAAAGGGAAGGCUCUCGAUUAUUUACAUGGGUUAAACUACUUUCUAUAAAUCGAAUUUCUCUUAAGAUACGCAUUACCGUAUUUACUCGUUUAACUUUUCCGACAAUAUUCAAACUGAAAAUGAGCCAAAUAAAUAUCGAAGCCAGCUUGCUUAUCAAGUUGUCAAGCUCGCAUUGCGCAAACUUUCAAAGUGAAUCAAUUCAUACUCCAGUAAGCUCAGGCGGAAGCUACUUUGAUAAAUUUAAGGCUUGUUAAUGAGGCAAAAUAAAAUGCUACGUAGAGUGGAUUAUAUAUUCAUGAAUUAUUGUAAGCAUUGAUUCUUGGCUAAAUUACAGAAAAUCCCCCUGUAAUAACCCGCUUUUUCACUUUCCCCCCCUGACAUUUAAAAACCUACACUUUGCCCCCCUGUAAAAUAAAAAAUGUUCACAGGGGGGUUACGGUGUGUAAAAUGACCAUUUUGCCCCUCGCCAUUGUCGUCUUCUUCCCCAUCUUCCUCAGCCGCCCCUUCGUUCGGCCGCGAUUUCGACCUCAAUCGGCCGCGAUUUCUCUCCAUUUCUUUCUCCACCUGCUCAUCUUCUCCUCCUGCACCCUCGUCGCCCUCGAUUUCGGCGACAGUAGGAGAAAAUCGAGGUGGGCGACAGUAGGAGAAGGGCAAAAAAGGCGAAGGCGAGGCGGCGGAGGACGGCAAAAAGGAUGUGGGUGAGGGUGAGGCAGUGGAGGACGGCGAGGCGGCUAGGCCGCGAGGCGGCGAGGCGGCGGCGAGGUGGCGAGCCGGAGGGAGUCGAAGCAACAGGGAGAUGGCGGAGGGGUAUUUUCGGCAUAAAAAUAUAUUUUUUAACGGAACCCUGAAGGAAUCCUAACGGUAGGGGGUGAAGUGCACAUUUUUUAUUUUACAAGGGGGCAAAGUGUAGGUUUUUAAAUGUCAGGGAGGGAAAGUGAAAAAACGGGUUAUUACAAGGGAGUUUUCUGUAAUUUAGCCUUGAUUCUUCUAAGAAUGGGUUAUAUUCGUGGAUUAUUGUAAGCAUUGAUGUUUCUAUGCUCUACCGGGUUGCUACUCUACUUGUGGCCUUUGGUAGAUCGACACUUAGGAGGUCCCGGUUUCAUAAGCCAUUCAGAUGGGGGCAGCUGCUCACAGGCAAUUUACGGGGUAAUUAGAUUUUCGUCGAGUCUAACACUCUUUCUUUUUUCUUUUUUUAUAAGAGAAAAAUAUAACAUACUAUCUGCUUCAUGUAUAAGAAUGAUGAAUUAACCAUAAGGGGUGAGGAAGUAUAUCAUAAAAAAAAAAAAAAAAAAAAAAAAAAAAAAACAAAAACAACAACAACAACACACACUACAUUACAAAAAUAGUCGUUUGGGCGUGAUAGAUUCCUUCCACUGGGUCACCAACUGCUCGACCUUAUCCAUUGCCAACAAUGGAUUAGUGUUAACCUUUCGAAAGAUGAGACAGUUCGUUGCGUACCAGAUGACCCACCAGUAAGCCGACUAACCAAUUAAUCUGGAUUGAGAUGCCGGAGCACUGUUUCACUUAUCCCAUACUGAUCUCACGUCGUCCCCCAAAUCAUUUGACUGAACCCCUUCCACAGCCAUCAUGAUCAAAAAUCUACACACCAUGUACUGUGUAAAUAAAUGGUCCACCGUCUCCUCUUCGACCCCGCACAGCACAAAAACUAUAUUUCCCGUCCACCCUCUCUUUUGAAGAUUGGCUAUUGUAGGUGUCCUUUUCUUAAGUAUUAGCCAGAUGAACACUUUCACUUUGAGGAGUAUUUCGAAUCUCCACACCUUAGGUGCACGAACGUCCCUCAUGCCCUCAUCAUUCAGUGCUGAAUAAGUUGAUUUCACAGUGUACCUACUACUAGUACUCCACCGCCAAAUCACACUAUCCGGUCUCUCUUCUCCUGUCAGGCACUCGCUGGUUUUCAAGUUAAGAGUCUAACACUCUUUUAACUUUGAAAAGUUGUUAGCUCUUCAAGCUAAAGCUUGAUUUUAACAGUUUUAUUACUUCCUUCAAUGCCGAGACACCCAAUUUCUUAUAUUCUUUUCCCUUAUAUUGUUUUGUUCCUUAUCUCAAGAAUAAGAAGUUAAUGUUGCUAAUGCUGAGACAAAUAAACACAAUAAACGAGGACGGGCGUUGAUCAUUCGAAAAAGAACUCAAGAAGGCCUCCGGAGAUUACUGUGCAGAAGUGCGAUCAGUCUGAGAAGACGAGCAAUCAAACUCUGAUGGAGGAAUUAUUGCCUGCACUAGUCACAUUCGUACAACCUGUGCAGUGUGCACUACAUAGCUGCCCAUUCAAUGCCAUAUUUAAAUCACGAUCGUUGGUAGUUGUUGAGAUUUUAGAGAGGAUGAAUGAAGGGAUAGUAUGAUGACCUGGUCCACGAAGUGCACGUAACAAUGUAUCUGACCUCUCUUUAGCAGGGAGAACAUACAUUACGGAAACUAGUAAGUCAACACAAAACGAACACAUCAUAAGCUACAUUUCGGAAAAUAAUACAUCACAAAAACUACGAUAUUAUAAAGAAGCCAAUGAUACAUAAAUCCCAACUUCAACAAAUAGUAAAUAAUAAUUUAGUACUUCGUACUUAGGUGAUCUCUCCCUUGCUUUCAUUACAAUAAAAAAUUAAGAGUUGCAGACCCAGAUGAGCCAGCAUCAAGACCCUUUCUUUGCACACAAAUGUGUUCCGUCACUGAAUGCCUUGGCGCUCCACCCUUUCUUUGCUUGCAGAAGAAGAUACUCUGCGGAAUAUGAACAAACUGAACUCAUAAUUUACAAUGCGGCAUCUUGAAAAAUAUCAGGCACGUUAGGCGGCGGCUAAUAUACUCAGCCAUCACCUGCUAAGGACAUGACAAUUCAUUAAGACUACCAUUAGAAAGCAGAGAAAAUAUUUGAUUGCUUCUGUGGAAAGAGUUGAUCGAAUGGUCUCCUGAUGCACCAGAUGUUCGACUUCACCUUACUCUCUUCAGAAGGUUAGGCAUGCAAAACCAAGACCUCGUUUGGUUUCCUCACCAUUGUUUAGUUUCUUUUUUGAAAUACAAAUUCCAUGCAAUGGCGAGAAGGGCUUUAUUUUAAAAAGGGAGGGAGGAUUUUCUUUUUCAAAUACAAGUUUCUAAUGUACUCAAUCUAUAUAACUAGCGGUCUUUGUUUGGUAACAAAAAUAAAAUUCAGCAGUAACCUUUGUUUUUCACUCUUUUAUUUUGGCAUUGAAAAAGAAGAUGCCAUUACGAACACAACCAAUGUUGCGGUGCGUAGCAAGCUUACCAACAAAGACGAAAAGGGAGAAAUUCGUCCACCAAAGCAUCCUAUCACACAGAAAUUGCAUUUGGAAAACAAAAAAAAGGGCAGUGAUACCAAACGAGGCCUAAAGUGGAGUUCCUAUGUGCAAUAGCUGAAUGUUUUCCAUACUGAUGGUAAAUGUGCACCAGCAUCAAGCCAACCUGCAGAAUGAACUUAAUAAACUCUCUCUCAGAUAAGUGUCUUUGAAAAGAACCUGAAGAAGAUCAGCAGGAAAUGUUUAGAGAGUACAUUAUCAUCAAGCAACUCACCAUACUCUUGCUGGUUAGAAUUAUAUGAGUCUUUCUGAUAGGACAGCAGCACCUAUCAGAGCGAAAAGGCACACCAGGGAAAGGAAGUCUGUAAAACCAAGUGAAGACUUGGAAAAGAAGUAAAUUUUGUGAGUGUUGCUGUCACCAUGGAAACCUCUAGCAAUCAUCGCCUGCCAAAGUCACAUUAGGAGACCCAAGCAUUAUGAUUAGAGUAAAUCAUGCAAAGCUAGAGAACAGCUUUUUAAUUUACCAGUAUCUCUAUAGAGUCAUCAUCCAUAUAUAAGUCCAACUAACUAUACCGUAAAUGUGUGACUAAGGAUCACCACCAGCUUAGCUCUUUCCGUAUCCUACUUUCAUCAUGCUAAGUUUAACCAACUACUUAGCACUGUUAAAAGCUUAAUAUCAAACUUGUAAUGUUCUUUUUUUAACACUUCCUAAGGGUUAAAGUUUCUUUACCAUUUUCUUUUAGAUUCUAAUCUCUUCACUGAACUACCUAUGCCUAAAUAAUUUCUUUCUUGAUUCUCCUUCCUGUUAGCCCACUUAGUGAAAGCACUCCUAUGGGCUCCCAGGCUCCAAAAUAGGACAGGCUUACUCCAAUUUAUUCGUAUGUAGCACAUUUUGUUGGUUCCCUUGUCAAUACACAUCAAAGAAUCCCACUCCUAGGCCUAUAUUGGUUUCUGAUGCGAAGUUAAAGCAAGAAAAUGAUGCCUUUAAUCACAAGCUAUGUUGUGCAGACACGGACACUAGAUACAGAUAUGACACAACGUGGAUACAACGAUACAGCAAAUUCUAAGAAUCUUAGGAUAUGAUACUUAGAAGAUAUGGUGAUUUUUAUAUUAUCAUUAUAUAUGAUAAUAUACAUUAAAAAAGUUUAGAAUCUUUGGAUGAUUAGUUAAGGUAAAACAAUAAACUGGUUGACUAGCUUAAAGAUAUAAACAUAGUCGACUUUUGUUCAUCAAAGAACAAAAUUAAUCAGACCAAAUGUAAUCUUUAGAUUUUCUCAACGACGAAUUCAUGCUGCAGGUGUCAUCUAACUGCAAAAUAACUUCCCCUAUCUUGCAAGAAUCCUAAGUCAAUCCGUCAAGUAUCUAUCUAGUAUUUAGCAAUUCUCUAAAAUUUCAAAAAUGUUGGACACUCUUAUGAAGUAUCCGACACAUCGGAGAUGUAUCACAUGAGUAUAAGUAUUUGAUACAUAUCCGAUACGAUACAACAAGUAAAAUGAAGUAUUUGUGCAUCAUCAAUCACAAGUAAGAUACCGACAAUUAAAUGGGCUUAACAAGGAUUCUGCAGAAAUUUUUCCGGGCCACUCUAUUCUGAUGAUUGACUAGGUGCAAAUUACCUUACAAUUAAUAUCUAGGAGCAGAGCUAUAUGAAGACAUGAGAUGGACCAAUUCUCUUUAAGUUUAGUAGCCCUUGGGGGCCAUUUAGUUUGAUGGUCCUGCAAAUACAAUGAAAUUAGAGAUGCAUGUAAUUGAAGAUGCAGUACUUGUAUUUGCAUCUGGCCCAUUUAGUGGGAUAUAGCUGAAAGCAGAAAGUGAUACAACUACAAAUUUUCUGUUUGAUUGCUUGUAGUUAGAAGUUGUAUUUAUAGAUUUUGUCAUUUUAUAUGUGAAAUGGUGAGAUUACCCUAAACAAUAGAAGUUCAUAAUUUUUUAUAUUUUUAAGAGGCGGGUAGUACGAUUACGCUUGUAAAGAAUUAUUCUAUCCAACUGUUGCAUCGUCAACUCUGUCCAGUCUGGUGUAGGUUGAAAUGCAACAAUUGGGCCUUCUUAAGCAGGUCAAACUACACCAUAUAGAUGCAACUACAACAACCAAAAGGAACUUUUGGACUUGUCAGUAGUUGCACUUACAAAACAGACUGAAAUGCAAGCAAUCCCUUAAUAUGGAGAAAGUGGAGGGCUAGAUCCACAUUGUAAGUGAAAGAAUAUGAGUUACAUAAAACUAAAAAAGAGUACACCCAAGUGGUUGUUGCAGUUUCUAUGUUAUGAGAGAUCAUGAGUUCAAUUCCCAAAUCAUUCAUUCUUUUUUUUUUUUCUUUAAUAUUUGAGUGUAGAUUGUUCUUUAAUAAUUGUUGGCUUAUCCUCUCUUUCUCUUUAUAUAUUUCUGAACAUUUUUUUUUCAAAUGAAAAAUUUUAAAAAUGCUCUUUUUAAAAAAAAAAUAAAAAUCUUUUGUGAUGACUGGAACCAUUUAAGGCCUAUUUGGAUGUUAGAACGGGGAGGUGUGGAGGGGUGUGUUGGAGAUUUAUGUUUCAAGAUUACAACUUAGGAGUUUGGUGUUUAGCUAUUUUAUUUUCAUAAUUAUUCAUUAUCUUUGAGGAUAGUACAUUCCAAUGUCUGCCACCACAAACGAACUGGCCCCGCUACAAGCUUUUCUUCGACGAGUGAUCAUUCAUAGUAGAGAUUAAAUCUAUUUAAAUUUUAUUUUGAAAUUAGGAUUAUAGGUUCAUAGCUUCCAGCAGACUCAAGAAUCUGCUAUUAAUUACCCCACACUUUCAGUGUUAAGAAACCCUCGAUUAAGAGACCAAAUUUAAUGCCGAUGAUAGAAAGAGACCAUAGUAUAAAGAUGAACUUGUAUUGAUAUAAUUUUCAAGUACAUGGCUUAAGCAGGCGCAUACGCCCACUGUACAUUAGUGAAAUACUCAGUUUAUGGAUUUGGCGAUCAUUUGGAAUUAGGUUGCUUAGUUUAACUGUUAGUGAUAUAUCCUAAAGCCAAUCGGUGACAUAGGCUUGUGAACAUAUUAAGUAUUUUUCUUAUUUAAUAAAGGGUAAGUUUUAUUCAUAUUUAUUGUUAGCAGUACAAUAUAUUUAUAUGAAUCAUCCAAUGAAUCUUCGUUAAGAAAAUAUAUUCCUAAGAGUUAGGAAUUUGAUAUAUAUAUUUCUUUGUACAAGAUUCUUAAACGCUCCUAGCCAUAGGAAUAUCAUAAGGACGAUGAUAUUUCAGAAUAGNNNNNNNNNNNNNNNNNNNNNNNNNNNNNNNNNNNNNNNNNNNNNNNNNNNNNNNNNNNNNNNNNNNNNNNNNNNNNNNNNNNNNNNNNNNNNNNNNNNNNNNNNNNNNNNNNNNNNNNNNNNNNNNNNNNNNNNNNNNNNNNNNNNNNNNNNNNNNNNNNNNNNNNNNNNNNNNNNNNNNNNNNNNNNNNNNNNNNNNNNNNNNNNNNNNNNNNNNNNNNNNNNNNNNNNNNNNNNNNNNNNNNNNNNNNNNNNNNNNNNNNNNNNNNNNNNNNNNNNNNNNNNNNNNNNNNNNNNNNNNNNNNNNNNNNNNNNNNNNNNNNNNNNAGAUAAUAUUCUAAUUAGAUUAGAUUUAAAUAUGAAUAUUUAAUUAUAAUUUAAUGGAUAAGAUCUAAUUAAAUUAAAGAGAGAAAUAAUGAUAAAAUAUCCAUAAAGGAUGAGCAUAAAUUUACUUUUACUUAUCCUAUAUGGCAACUAAUUGGAUAUGAUCAAAUUAGUAUUGCAACUAAUUGGAUUUGAUUCAGAUUAGUUACAACAAAUUAGUAUUGCAACUAAUUGGAUAUGAUCCAAAUUAAUUACAACAGAAUGUAUGCAACUAAUUGGAUAUGAUCCAAUUAGUUACAACAGAAUGUUGAGGAGUGCCGAUCCGUACGGCUCAAUUAAUUGGAGCUGCACAUAAAAAGACGCGGCUUCAUUAAUAGGCAACACACGAAAAUUAAUGUGAAGAGAUUCACAUUAUUCUCUCUCAACCUUUUGUCAAAUAUUUUACUAAAAGGGAACGUGGAUAAGAGAAGACUGCUAGCACUGUCUUUGUAAUCUGCGACUCAUUUGUUCCGUGCAACGGAAGGCGUUGGAUCUGGAUCAAUUCCGUGUGGAUACGCGUAGAGGCCGGGCACGUACGCGGCUAAUUGGAAUCUCAGUUUCAACCGUACAGUAGAUCAAGAGACCUUAACUGGUCCGAGGUGAUAUAACCUAAACUUCAAAUCUGCUUAGGUUAGAUUAUUAUUUUACAUUGUAACAUGAGAAUGAUCCGCCGGUACUUGAUUGAUUUGUUUUGUUUUGAUUCAUAUGUGAUAUGAAUUUUUGUUUUCAAAAUAUGAUAUUAUUUUCCGCUACGAUUUUUUUUUUGUGCCGGAUAAAUUCUUACAGUGGUAUCAGAGCCGAUUCUCAUGUUCUAUGUAAAAUAUUUACGAUCUGUAUGGUUUGAUUGAAAUUUUGGAACCUUUUUCGAUUAGAUCGAUCGAUAUUGUUUUUCUUAAGUUGCACGUAGUGCGAUUUAUUGGUUUCACACCAUAAAAUAAAUAUGUGGAGAUUUGAGAAAAAUAUAUUAUUGAGUUCCAAAAAUUUUUAAUCGAUGUUUAAAUCGAUUUGGUUAUUAUUUUCUGCAUAGUUUUUAGAUGGGUGAUGAUCAUGUACCUUAGACAUAUGUGAUGUGAUUAUGGAUGUAUUUGUAAUUUGAUUAUGGAUGUAUUUGUAUUUUGAUUAUGGAUGUAUAAUUUUGAUUACGAAGGGCCUGCGUGCCACUUUUAUUGGGAUCUGCGAAUCCUUGUAUUUUAUUAGAUAAAAUUAGGGUUAGUUGGAGAAGAAUCCACAUCAAGCGUUGAUGGAUUGGCGUCGCAAAUCGUGAUGGCAUCAAAGGAUAUAUCAGAUCCAACAUAAGAAGAUGGCUAAAUAUUUGCAAGAGUUGAGAAUAUGUGUGUAUCACCCUAUAGACCGAUUUGACUCAUCGGCUCGAGUCGAAUCAGAAAAAGUCCAUGAUCAUCCCUAAACUAUGCAAUUUAUUUUUGUGUAUGUGAUACCUGUGAUUAAUUUUAUAUGAGAUAUAACAUGUGAUGAUGAGACCGAUAUAUAAUUUUAAAACUCCUUAUAAAAUAUUAAGUUGAAACGAAGGGGCAUUUGAUGCUCUAUCGUGGCCUUCCACCGAUGACAAGAUGUAGCAUUGUUUCAAGCAUUGAGUAGUCACGCAUGGUCCCAUGGGGCUACUUGUGUUUAAACUAUGCGAACAUCUUGACAUAGGAUGCUACAAUAUGGCAUUAUCAAUGGAUUCAAGAAACCGUCCGAUGAGGGUCUUUUGAUAAUUCCAUAUUUGUAGGAGAGGAUUAGACUUAACUAAGGUUGUUGCGCCAAGAAACCGUCCGGUGAGACGUAAAAAUCUUAGAGGCCAAAGGACGAUUGGAUUGCACAUAAGAUGUGUCGAGGUAAGAUGUUACCCAUUCAUUAAAUUACGAUUUUCCAAGAAUCUGUCCGGUGAGGUGAGUCGUAAUUUAUGAAACCCCAAUCACCACUAAGAAAUCUAACGGAUGAGGAUUUCCGUCUUUCUACUUAGGGAGUGUAGAAAUUCGAUAAAAUCAGUGAGAGGAACCUUUUAAACUAAUAGACCCUAGUUUAAUAGGUUAAAAAGAAAAAUACUUAUCUAACUAAAAUCUCUAAUUUCUGCAGACAAAAUGAAUGCCUCUAACCCUCUUUCUCGCAUAAUGGAAUCUAACCGAUUAACUGGCCCUAAUUUCCAAGACUGGCUUCAUAACCUAAAAAUUGUUUUAGGUAUUGAAAAGCUUGAUUAUGUUCUUCAAGCUCCAAUUCCCGAGCUUACCGCUGAUACCACAACUGAAGAAGUUGAGGAGAGAGACAUGUGGGUUGAUGAUGACCAGCGUGUCAAAUAUUACAUGCUGGCCUCUAUGUCGAAUGAGCUGCAACGGCAGCAUGAGAACUAUGCUCGAGCAUAUGAGAUGCUUGCGCACUUACAAGAGUUGUAUGGUGCACAAAGCCAAACCGCAAGAUAUGAGAUAUCAAAGCGAUUGUUUAAAGCUCAGAUGACUCCAGGCACGUCAGUCAGUGAACAUUGUCUCAAAAUGAUUGACGACAUGGAGCAGCUGAAAAAUCUCGGCUUGAACUUGGACGCAGACUUGCAGAUCGAUCUAGUUCUACAAUCUUUGCCAGAAUCGUUCUCUCAUUUCGUUAUGAACUUUAACAUGAAUAAGAUUCAUGCCACUUUGUCCGAGCUCAUGAAUAUGCUAGUCACAGCGGAAAGCACGUUGAAGACAAACGGGAUGGCGAUGGCGGUUGAGAGAACUUCAAAAGAAAAGGUCAAAGGAAAGAAAAAGUUUUCCAAGCUCAAGUCAUCGGGUGGAGUGCAGAAAGCUAAUUUUAAGAAAUCCGACAAAGGCAAGGCUAAAGGAAAAUGUUUCCAUUGCGGUAAGGAUGGGCAUUGGAAGAGAAAUUGUAGAGAAUAUCUUUCUAGCCUCAAAGAAAAAUUAAAGGAAGGGCCUUCUGAAGGUACGAACGAAAUACUCAUCGUUGAGGCCAAUAUAAUUGGCUCUACUUCUUCUUGGGUAUUAGAUUCUGCAUGUACCUUACAUCUUUGUAAUUCAUUACAGGAUCUAAAGGAAAGUAGAACACUGAAGGACAGCGAGGUGACCCUGCGUGUGGAAAAUGAAGCAAGCGUUGCUGUGUUAGCUGUAGGGAGCUGUUCUUUGAGACUUCCAUCUGGACAUAUUUUAGAAUUAGAGAAUUGUUAUUAUUCUUCUUUAGUUGUUAGGAAUUUGAUUUCUGUUACAACUUUAGUUCGAACUGGUUAUCGUUUUAUUUUUGAAACUAAUGGUUGUUUUAUUUAUUUCCAAAAUAAAUUGAUAGCUGCUGGUAGUUUAAUUGACAAUCUCUACUUUCUAAAUCUAGAUGAAAAUGUUGCUAAUAUUGAACAUAAAGAGAAUAAUUCUCAAAUCAAGAGACCUAGAGAUAAUAGUCUGAACCAAAAGUAUCUAUGGCACCUUCGACUAUGUCAUAUUGCAGAAGAUAGGAUAAACCGACUGGCCAAGAAUGGGCACUUGGGAACUUGUGCUUUAGAAUCUUAUCCAGUUUGUAAGUCUUGUCUUCAAGACAAAAUGGCCAAGUCACCCUUUGUUGGACAAAAAGAGCGAGCCACAGAGUUACUUGCCCUUAUACACUCAGAUGUGUGUGGACCGUUUAGUGAAACGACUCGGGGUGGUUAUAUCUACUUUGUGACUUUUACCGAUGAUUAUUCACGGUAUGGGUCUGUGUUUCUUAUAAAACACAAGUCUGAAACAUUUGAAAAGUUCAAAGAGUUCAGAUAUGAAGUGGAGAAGCAGACAGGAAAAAGUAUUAAGGCUCUUCGAUCAGAUCGAGGAGGCGAAUACCUUAGUACUGAAUUUCUAAAUUAUCUCAAAGAAAAUGGUAUUCUCUCGCAAUGGACACCUCCUGGAACUCCGGAAUUAAAUGGAGUUUCAGAAAGAAGAAAUCGUACUUUAUUAGAUAUGGUACGAUCAAUGAUGAGCUUCACAGACUUACCUUUAUUUCUUUGGGGUUAUGCCCUAUUAACCGCAGCCUAUAUUCUAAAUAGGGUGCCUUCAAAAUCUGUUCCUUGUACUCCGCAUGAGAUGUGGUUUGGCAAAAAACCGGAUCUCAAUCAUUUAAGGAUUUGGGGAUGCCCGGUUUUUGUUAAAAAACUUAAAACAGAUAAAUUGGAGGCUAGGUCGGAUAAAGGAAGAUUUAUUGGUUAUCCUAAGGAGUCUAUGGGAUACUAUUUUUAUCUUCAGAGUGAACAAAACAUGAUUGUUAGCCGACAUGCAAUAUUUUUGGAAAAGGAGUUUGUCCAAGAAGGUGGUGCCAGAAAGGAGAUAGUGCUCAAAGAGAUGGCCUCAAAUGAGCAAACAAUUUCUCUAGAACAAUCUGAACAAGCUAUUCAAACUGAACCCACUAUUACACAAUUACCUCGAAGAUCUAGUAGAAUAUCCCAACCUCCAGAGAAAUAUCGAGAUUUUGUUAUGGAAUGCACAAAGGAAAUGUUCCUCAUUGGCUAUAGUGAUCGCAGGGAUGAUCCUACCAGUUAUGAAGAGGCGAUAUCAGACAUUGACUCAAUAAAAUGGCAAGAAGCAAUGAAGUCCGAGAUGGACUCUAUGUACACCAAUCACGUAUGGACUCUUGUUGAUCCACCAGAAGGUAUAGUACCUGUUGGUUGUAAAUGGAUUUUCAAGAAAAAGAUUGGUGUUGAUGGAAAAGUAGAGACAUACAAGGCGAGACUUGUAGCAAAAGGCUACAGUCAACAAGAAGGUCUCGACUAUAAAGAAACGUUCUCUCCUGUAGUCAUGCUUAAAUCCAUUCGAACAUUACUUGUCAUAGCCGCAUACUAUGAUUAUGAGAUCUGGCAAAUAGACGUAACAACUGCUUUCCUCAAUGGAUUCAUAGAGGAGGACAUAUAUAUGCAGCAUCCUGAGGGAUUUAUGUCCAAUAGCCAGAAACAUAAAGUAUGCAAGCUUCAGAAGUCCAUUUAUGGAUUGAAGCAGGCUUCGAGGAGUUGGAACAUACGGUUCAAUGAUGCAGUCAAAACGUUUGGCUUCGUGAGAAAUCAAGAUGAACAUUGUGUUUACAAGAAGACUAGUGGGAGCCAACUUGUCUUUCUCAUAUUGUACGUGGACGACAUUCUUUUAAUUGGAAAUGAUGCAGGUUUGAUGACCUCUGUUAAGGUUUGGUUGUCCCAGAAUUUCUUAAUGAAAGAUCUAGAAGAGGCAGCCUAUAUCCUUGGCAUUAAGGUCUAUAGAGAUAGAUCUAAGAGGUUGAUCGGUUUGUCACAGCAGAUGUACAUAGAAGAUAUGUUGAAAAGGUUCAACAUGGAAAAUUCCAAAAAGGGUCUUCUUCCUCUUAGACAUGGAAUUAAUCUUUCCAAGAUGAUGUGUCCUAAAACACCUGAGGAAAGAGAGCGUAUAAACAGAAUUCCCUAUGCUUCCGCAAUAAGAAGUCUCAUGUACGCUAUGCUAUGUACAAGACCAGAUAUCGCACAUGCCGUAAGUGUUACGAGCAGAUAUCAGUCCAAUCCAGGUGAAGAACACUGGACUGCUGUGAAGAAUAUCCUUGAGUACUUGAGAAGAACUAAGGAUUUGUGUCUAGUGUAUGGUGGAAGUGAGCUAACAUUAGAAGGCUUCACAGAUUCAGACUUCAUGUCGGACGUUGAUGAUAGAAAGUCAACAUCAGGGCAUGUCUUCAUAUUGAAUGGUGGGGCUAUCAUUUGGAAGAGUUCCAAACAGAAUACAACAGCAGAUUCCACCACUGAGGCCGAGUACAUUGCAGCAUCUGAGGCAUCAAAGGAGGCAGUUUGGCUUCGAAAGUUCGUCACGGAACUAGGGGUGGUGCCUUCUAUUGAGGAACCAAUGCCACUUUACUGUGACAAUAAUGGAGCUAUAGCGCAAGCUAAAGAACCGAGGUCUCACCAGAAAUCCAAGCAUAUAGAUCGACGCUACCACAUCAUCCGACAAUUUAUAGAUGAGCGUAAGAUUGUUGUGCAGAAAGUAGCAUCUGUAGACAAUAUAGCGGAUCCCCUUACUAAGCCGCUCACACUUCAAAAGCUGGAUGUGCAUUUAGAAAGAAUGGGUAUGAGAUACAUGAGNCCAAAAACUUGUCUAAGUCCUUUAGAACACGUAGGAUAGUUCCACAACUCAUUCCACACACUCGGACUCCGCAAUUUGCUAGAGUCAGUGUAUUACAAUAUCCUUGGCAUUAAGGUCUAUAGAGAUAGAUCUAAGAGGUUGAUCGGUUUGUCACAGCAGAUGUACAUAGAAGAUGUGUUGAAAAGGUUCAACAUGGAAAAUUCCAAAAGGGGUCUUCUUCCUCUUAGACAUGGAAUUAAUCUUUCCAAGAUGAUGUGUCCUAAAACACCUGAGGAAAGAGAGCGUAUGAGCAGAAUUCCCUAUGCUUCCGCGAUAGGAAGUCUCAUGUACGCUAUGCUAUGUACAAGACCUGAUAUCGCACAUGCUGUAAGUGUUACGAGCAGAUAUCAGUCUAAUCCAGGUGAAGAACACUGGACUGCUGUAAAGAAUAUCCUUAAGUACUUGAGAAGAACUAAGGAUUUAUGUUUAGUAUAUGGUGGAAAUGAGCUAAUGUUAGAAGGCUUCACAGAUUCAGACUUCAUGUCAGAUGUUGAUAACAGAAAGUCAACAUCAGGACAUGUAUUCACAUUGAAUGGUGGGGCAAUCAUUUGGAAGAGUUCCAAACAGAAUACAACAGCAGAUUCCACCACUGAGGCAGAGUACAUUGCAGCAUCUGAGGCAUCAAAGGAGGCAGUUUGGCUUCGAAAGUUCGUCACGGAACUAGGAGUGGUGUCUUCUAUUGAGGAGCCAAUGUCACUUUAUUGUGACAAUAAUGGAGCUAUAGCGCAAGCUAAAGAACCGAGGUCUCACCAGAAGUCCAAGCAUAUAGAUCGACGCUAUCACAUCAUCCGACAAUUUAUAGAUGAGCGCCAGAUUGUUGUGCAGAAAGUAGCAUCCGUAGACAAUAUAGCGGAUCCCCUUACUAAGCCGCUCACACUUCAAAAGUUGGAUGUGCAUUUAGAAAGAAUGGGUAUGAGAUACAUGAGCGAUUGGCAUUAGUGUUAGUGGGAGAUUGUUAGUGAUAAACCCUAAAGCCAAUCGGUGACAUAAGCUUGUGGAUAUAUUAAGUAUUUUUCUUAAUUAAUAAAGGGCAAGUUUUAUUCAUAUUUAUUGUUCGCAGUACAAUAUAUAUAUAUGAAUCGUCCGUUGAAUCUUCGUUAAGAAAAUAUAUUCCUAAGAGUUAGGAAUUUGAGAUAUAUAUUUCUUAGUACAAGAUUCUUAAAUGCUCCUAGCCAUAGGAAUAUCAUAAGGGCGAUGAUAUUUCCGGAUAGGCCGGUGUAUGCUAUACUUCUAAGUUGAGGUGACGAGUCUCAAGUCACUAGUGUAGAGACACUAAAGUAAGCAUACAGGUGCUUGUUAAAGAACAAGUACACUGAGCGUGACUAUUUGGUUGAACUGUCACAUGGUUCUAUGCUCGCCAGUGAUAAGUUCAUUGCUACAGUUGUGUGAAGUACUCCUUGGACCUGAGGCAUCAUAGUUGCUUCACGUAUAGGUUGCUACAGUUUAACAGUACUAAUACUUAGACUCUAGACACGGGUUUAUGUUCGGUACUGAUUGGCUAUAGUGAUUUAUAUGGGGAGGCAUGUGAGUGCGCAAUAAGGAAUUCAACACUCUCAAUAUUGAGAGAGAACGUUCUAUGUAGACUAUCAGACUCGAUUCGAAAAAUCCCUGGCCAGGGUAUGUGGUGUAUGGAAAGAGUUUCCAGAUGUGUUACCAUAUUGAAUCGGUUCUAGAUAUUCUAGUCAUAUGAUCGAAUAAUAAGAUUUGGCGAGUAACCAUAAUUUUGGUUCGAUCGGGACGUUGUGUGUUGAAAGGAAUUAAUCAUACGGUAACUGUAAGCGGAAAGGUUUAUUCUUCAUCACCAUUCUGGAUUGUCGUGAUAUACUGCUAGGUGUCACUCACGGACGGUGAGAGAAUAUGAAUGAUUAGAAUUUAAUUAUUCUUAUUUAUCGAUUAGAAGGGUUCUAAUUAAAUAUCAAAGAGUUUGAUAUUUAGCUCCACUGCCGAAUGGUAAUGAACCUAUGCGGUCACACACAAUAGGAAUUGUGUGCAUCCAACAGGACAAGAUGAGAAUAAUACACUAAACGGUUUAGUGAAAAUAGUGAGGAUUAUAAUUUGAUUGUUACGAAAGAUUUUAUCUCUAAUUGGAUUAGAGAAUAACUGAAUAUUCAUAAAUUAUUAUGAGAUAAUAUUCUAAUUAAAUUAGAUUUAAAUAUGAAUAUUUAGUUAUAAUAGAUAUGAUCUAAUUAAAGGGAGAGAUAAUAAAAUAUCCUAUGUUCCAACUAAUUGGAUGUAAUCCUUAGUUGGAUGUAAUCCAAUUAGUUGCAACAGAUAGUAUAGAAUUAUAACUAAUUGAAAAUUAUCAAAUUGGGAUUGUAACUAUUUGAAUAUAAUUAGUUACAACAAAUAUACGGCUCAAUUAAGAAGCCGUUUCGUACGGCUCUUUGUUUGUACUCCUUAAUUAAGCAGAGCUAUAUAUAUAGCUUAGCUGCGGCUUCAUUAAGGGUGCGAGAUAUCAUUAAUUGACGUGAAUAGGAUUCAAAUAUUCUUCUCUCUCAAACUUUCGUAAGUCCACAAUAAUUUUCACAAGAAGGAACGUAGACAUCGGAAGACUGCUAGCACCGUCUUCGUGAUCUGCGACUCAUCUGUUCCAUACGACGGAAGGCGUUGGAUCGGGAUCAAUUCCGUGUGGAUACGCGUAGAGGCCGGGCACGUGCGCGGCUAAUCGGAGGAUCAACUUCAACCGUACAGUAGAUCAAGAGACCUUAACUGGUCCAAGGUAAUGUAAUCUAAACUUCGGAUUUGUUUAGAUUAGAUUUUAUUUUACAUUGUAACAUGAGAAUGAUCCGCCGGCACUGGAUUGAUUUGUUUUGUUUUGUUUCAUAUGUGAUAUGGAUUUCGUUUUCGUUUUUCCGCUGCGAUUUUUAAGUGCCGGAUAUUUUUUCUAACAGUGCUAACCACUCGAUCCAUUUUCCACAAUCGUGCUUCCAAGUUGCCGAUUAUCGCCAUUAAACAUAAUCUACAGUAUUUGAUCAAUGCAACCAAAUUUUUGAAUUUUUUUAGAACCAAUUAUAUAGUGAUUAAAAGGAUUUAAAAUUGACAAUUUGUAAUUUCUGGUGUGAGGUGCUUAUUAGUUUAACAAUGUAGAACAACCCAAAUCGCUCAAAUUUUCGCUAAAUCAUUUUAUCGCUAUCUACUUGAAUUCAAGAGUUUUAUCCCUUGUUUUCGCAAUGUUGUUCGAUUCUGACAUAAUUGACCGAUGACACAUUAAUAAAUGGAGUCCGACUGGAAUACUAUCGAUAGUACCAAGCGUUUUGUGCUAUCGAGUUUUCCGCCGUUAGUUUAACCCUUUCACUAUUUCCACCCGUUAGAUUAUUAUACUAUUAAACCAAUAACUAACUCAACUCUAGGGAGCCCAUAUCAUUCUAACCGUAUAUUUUUUCAUGCAAGGACUGAAAACCUAAUCGCAUCAAUAGCUUGAUAGUAUUGAUAGUAUUCCGGCUUAAUUCUUAAUAAAUAAUAUUAAAAAAUUAUAGAAUUUAUUUACUAGAUAUGGAAAAAAAAGAAUCAUAAUUGAAAUGAAAAAGAUUGAGAGCGAGAUGCGGAGGACCUUCCGCCGUCGAGCUCACUCUGGACCCUGCGGAGGAGGGCGGUCGUCUUCCCGGCGAACAUCGGGCCGACGAUCACGUGGAUCUCGCCGGCAGAAGAUCGCGCCUCCAUCACCAGAUCUCGGCCGUCGAAAUCAAGGUUUCGAGGGGUGGGAUGCAGGCGAAUUUAGAUGGGAAUUGGGAUGUGGAUUUGAUGAAAUGGGAGAGGGUGGAGAAGAGGGGAAAGAGAAGCGGGAUCACUUGGCGGGAAAUGUAGUGCACGUGGGAUGGGAUAUAUUCAAUUUAUUAAUUGGUUGUUUUUUAAAUAAAAACUUAUAAUAUGUAUGGGGAAAGACUAAUUUAAAAUUGAUUAUUUAAUUUUCUAAAAUAUUGAUUUUACUAUCGAUUUUUUCAAUUUGUUUCAUUUGAGUGAGUCAAUAAUACUUUGAUUUCAAAUUUUGAGCUAAUUAUUAAUAGAUUUAUAAUUGCAAGAUUAUCUAUUAAAAUAAGUUAUUAGCUUAAGGUUUAAAGUUAAAGUACCGUUGACUCACUCAGAUCAAACAAAUUGAAAGAUUAAAUAGUAAAAUCAUUUCGGGCCACUCAAAUCAAAUUAAAAUAUUGUUGACUCACCUAAAAAUCAUAGACCACCACCCCACAAAAGAGUAGAAGUGAAAACAUAUUGGAUAAUAAGCAACCAUAUUUGCAUUCUUAUUCCAGUUUACUCACAUAUGGAUAAAAAAUGUUCGGAUUGUGGUGUUCCGAAAACUUAGCAGUCGGAAUGACUAUAGUCUCAACAGUUGGUCGACACAUAUAUAGAAUGUCGAGUUGAGUUAGAAUUGUUAGGCGUAAAAUAGACGUGAAAAUAGCUUUGGAGCACAGAAAAUAGCUAGACUUAAAGUACUGGCCAAUUUUAGACGCCGGGAUGUUGGACGUGGCACCCAGAUGUGAAGUGCGAAGCUGCGAGAGUUACUGAAGUCAUUUCGGGUUCCGGACGGCCGGAAUAGAUUAUAGCUGCCCGGAAGUGAAUUGGUGAACUCCUCGAGUCUAUCCUAGGAGUGUGUCGAAGCCUAUUUGACACAUGUACAACAACCUUUUUGGACUCGGAUGCAGUUUCAAAUUCGGACCCUAUCUGUGGGCGCCCAUUCUACGUUCUAGACACUAAUGCGAGUCAUUUCCGAUGCCAGCUGAAGGUGCUUUCGGUGCCCGAAACGUAAUUUUUCUGCUGAAACAAAUCAUCUUUACUGUAGAGUUUUCAUUCCAGCUCUUACUUAUUUCCUGUUAUAUAAUAGAUCAUCUUUACUAAUGCCUCUAGUAAACCUACUUUUAUAGUGUAGUUGUCGUUGGUGACGGUAUCCACGAGGAACUAUUUUUAUAGUAGUUCUUAUGUCCUCUGUUGUUGCUCUUUUUUUUCAGAGCCCUCCCUCCCUAUUGCUGCAUCUGACCGAAGUAAGGGAGUCGCAAGUUAGUUAAAGCUAACCAAGAUAGUGAAAUACCCCAUAGAGGCAAUUUUAGGAGAUAGCCUAUUGUACAGACUUGGACUUGCGAGGAUAGCUUAUUUGUACUUUAUUUAGUUUUUGUAAAUAGGGACGAUGUACUAUUUUAGGAGUUGAUGUAUGUACAGUAUGCCUUCAGUAAUGUAUUUUUUUUUUUUUUGAGAAAAAGGUAGCAAGCUACCUGCUUCAAUUCAUUCAUAAAAUAAAAUGAACUAAGCAUAUAGGUGGAAGCAGCUAGGGCCUCCUAAAAAAACCGAAAAGAAAUCAACGAAAACAUAAACAAAAAGCCCAAAAAAAAAUAUGUAAAAGGAAACAAAAGCAUGAAAUUAGAGCAGGAGUCGUCGAGAAUCACGUAACAUCAGUCCAAUCCUUCAACAAAGACUCAACGCGAACCGCGGUCCGGCUUGCGUUGGGAGGCAUAUCACGAAAGAUAGUAUUAUUGCGUUCGGUCCAAACAACCCACCAGAUCGCCUUCAUUAAUGUAUUAGUUUUACUUUUCUAGCUCUAAUAUCUAUAGUUGUAGUAGAUUUUAUAUAUUUUGCAGGUUUAGAUGCUUCACAUGUAUGGGGAUCCCCGUGUACGCAGCGGAUCUAUUGGCGAGUCUGGAUUCAGCUGCAACUCGGGACGUGACAGAUUAAGAUCAGAUCUAGGAACAGUUUGUUGGGACUUAGAGAACUCUAGAUUUUUUGCAAACCCCUAGGAAGACAAGACGUGAGAGAUGCGACUUGCUGCGAAAGUCGGCGAUUGAUUUAUUUGUCAAUUCUUUCGGGAGAGCGAAGAGUGAUCGAAGGAAAUGUAUCUUUUCCUGCCAGAUGAUUAUAUCGGCUGCAGCCGACAUAGUAUCGCAGGGAAAAAGGAAUGUCCUUCUAGACUUUCGCAUGAUUAGAUUGAGUGUUGUAUUCAAGUAUGUAACUGACGUAUAUUCUGUUGCAGGUAAUUAGAAUGCCUCCUAGAUGUUGACCACCGGCGUAGGCAAUACCUGCACCACCCGCGAAGCCGGAGCAGGAAGGGCCGAGUGAGUUGUAGAACUAGCAGGGAUAGUUGGCUAUUUUGGCCGAGGCUACCCAAUAGUAGGGAGUGCUUUUAUAGAGUAUGUGCAAAUUGGUUCAUUACGUUCUCUGUGCAAGCAAUGAGAUACCAGAGAGUCACAUACAGUGGAGACUCGGGUUGGCGUCAAUGGCGCCGAGAUUUGAGUCUCGGUCCAUGCUGCAAUCCGAAUCAUGGUCAAUGCGAUCAGAAAUUAUUUGACCCUUAGCAAUCUUUAUAAGCCAUGCGAUCAGAACGCGCGUCUUGGAUCCAAUAGUAUAGGGUCACGUCCAUGCGAGUGGAAGAUGAACAAUAUUUUAUUUUAUUUUAUUUUAUUUUAUAGAGUAAGCUAUUAUAUAUACUCUUACGAGUAUAGAGCCCUUUGUACUCAUAAGUUAUUUUCGGUGAUGGGGCUUUCGAAUCGAUGAUCCACUCUGUUAAAUAUGAUUUAGAGUAUUUAAAAUUUUUAAAAAUUAAAUUUCGUAAUUUUUUCGAAAUCAUAGUAAAGUCUGUAAAAUAUGCAUAAAAUGAACGGUCAAAAUCGAAUGAUAUCCUAAAAAUAGAUGAUCGAAUCCACAGAUCAGAAUUGUUAAUCUUUAUUUAGGCAGUGAAUAGAAUUUUCUAUAAAAAAUUCAACAUAUUCCAAUUCUUUUACACCGUUAAACUAGCAAUUAUCUCAUACCGGCCGUUAAAAAUUGUCAAUUUUGUGACAUUUUGCUCGUGAGGUAAAUAAUAUUAAAAAAUAAUGAAAUUUGAUUUCUAGAAAUUUUAAAUACUCUAGAUAAUGUUUAACGGUAUGGAUCGUCGAUUCGGAAGCUCUAUUAUCGAAAACGACUUAUGAGUACAUGGAUGAUCGUACUCAUAAAAGUAUAGUAGUCGGACUCUAUUUUAUAUAAUUAAAAUUCGACCCAGUGUAAAGGGUGCACACAGUAAGAAGUUAAUAAUUAACAUUAAAAUUUGGCUCUAAUACUAAUUGAUAGAUCUUUAUAGCUAUGUAAAAUAAUAAUAAAAUAAAUACAUACCAAAAUACAGAAUCACAAAUAAAUAAAGUAAUUUACAGAGUGCCAUAGAAAAGAAAUUCUUAAUUAAUCUGCGGAAGCAAAAAGUCCGGUACCAAUAUGAAUAUUACCAACGGAAUUCGACUAACUUGGCUUCUUCUUCUAUCUCAGUCACUCUCUCGCAUGGUAUGGAACAGAUGGUAAUUCUUCAUUGAAAUUUAUAUGAGAAGGUGGCAUGACCAAUAUACUUUUAUAUAGAGUUCAAAUCGACUUAUCAUCAAAAUUUGAUUAGGAUUCUAUUUAAUUUAAAUAGAUAAAAAAAUGGAUAACAUAUAUCAUAUUAAGUAGUUCUCUGUUAGAAUUGAUCUUUAUUUAUAGUAAAUUUAGAUCUGAAUAUAAUUAAUUGAGACAUAUUUAUGAAAGUCCUAACUCCUGAUCUUAUAUACCUUUUGGAAAAUAAUUUGAGAGGUACUAAGUACACUCGUAACCUCAUAGCGUGGUUCUUAUAUAUUUUGUCGAACCUUUUGUUUUUUUUGGUUAAUGGAACUUCACAAAUUUUAAUUUGCAGAUCCAAAAGUAUUGUGCCACCUGAACUCAUAAUGGGCCUCAAAACUUAUUAGGCGCAAAUCUAUUUCGGGCCUAUUUCAGCAUUCCAAACUUUGAUCGUGUUAUGUGUGAAUGUGGUCCGCAUGCCCGUGCCCAGCCUUUAUGCUUAUAACUUUCUAACUAUCAUCAAUUUUGAUGAACGGAUAGGAUAAAAGAGAGAAAAAUAUUGAAAAGAAAUUGAAUGCCUCAAUUUCUUCUUUUUGAAUUUCUUUCUAGUUUCUCUUAUCUUUCUCUCUCAUCCUAACCACCGAUCAAAAUUGAUGGAUGAUUAGAAAGUUAGGAGCAUAAGAUCUGCUGUGUUCCUAAUUACACGGUAGUCCUACUCUCCAUAUAUACAGAAUUGGAUUGGAAUGCUAUUAAUAAUAUUUCGGCUCUUUUGCUAUCAAGUUUUUAGCCCUUGGAUGAAAAAUUAUAAGGUUAGAAUAAUAAUGGUCCCCUCGAAUUUAGUGGUGGUUCCUCCAGGAUUGAGUAGGUGGUUGGUUGAAUAGUAUUAUCGAAAGGAUGAAAUUGAUUAAAGUGUAAAUUUAAUAGUUAAAACAGUAAUAGUAAAUGAGUCCAAAUAAGUAUUCUAGCUCAACUCUUUUAAUAUCUAUAUAUAUAUCUCUCUCUCUCUAUAUAUAUAUAGAGAGAGAGAGAGAGAGAGAGAGAGAGAGAUGAGGUCGAGAUGGUGGCAAGUCGGGUGAUAAAUGUACACUAAUAUAUUAGAAAAAAAGAUUUAUUUUUACUUCUCAAAAUAUUCGUGAGAAAAAAAAUUUGUUUUCCAAAAAAAAUUUGGAAAAUGAAAAGAAACUAUUUUUUGUAAAAUAUGAAAAAUAAUUUUUAAACAAAAUUUUUUUUUUCUGCGAAUCAAACACACGAAAUUUUUUUUCAGUCUUAAAUAAAUUUUCUAGGAUAUUUUUCAAGAAACCAAACAUACCCUAAACAAGUGUGGCUGAGUAUUUACAACCCAAACACUAAAAAAUAUAAAAUUUUAUUCAUCAAUUUUUCUUUUCAUAGCUUUAUAUGGAACCAAACAGCUCAUAAAUGACGAAUCAUUUGUGUGAUGACGAGAGAGACGCAAGCUCCCCGCCCGUUAAGUUUGUACGAUGGCUAGAGUAAGGAUGUCAGAGGGUACGGAUACCCGAAAUUUUAUCGAAAUCCGAAUCCGAAUAGAGCAGAUUUAUUGAAUGCUACACGGAUAUGGUUUCGGACAUGGAUAUCAAGAACAAAUAAUAGACGGAUAUGAAUUCGAAUAUAGAUUUUGGCUAUACCCAACCCGAACCCGAAUUUAUUUUACAUUUUAUAUAUAUAUAUAUAUAUAUAUAUAUAUAUAAUUUGAUGUUAUACUUUGUAUUUGUAUUUAAAAAAUUUAGAUUUAAUAUAAUAUAUUUUGAAAUACUGAAAAGAGAAAUAAUUGUUUCGGUUUGGAUUCGGUGCUCAAAUUUUUGGUUGGAUUUGAGUUUGAAUAUGAAUUUUUAAAAUCUGUCGGAUUCAAAUUCGGAUUGAAGUUUCAAGUUUGGAGUUAGGUUCAAAUUUGAAUUUUUGAAAAUUCUUCCUAAAUCUGAUCCGGCGACAUCAAUAGACGAGAUGGACGCAAGCUCUCCAUUAAGCGACGCAAUAUCACUGGACAUUCAAAUAGAUUCUUUGGUUUUAUAUUACUUAUAAUAUAAUACAGUUUGAAAUAUGCACUGUCGAAAAUAUAACCGUUUUAACGGACAAACAUUUUAUUUGAUUGAAUAUAAUAAAAUAAUAGUACUAUAACUAUAGAUAUUUAUAUUUAACUGUAUAUAAUUGAGAAGAGUAUUUAUAACAUUUUAUCACUUUAUAUAUAGGACGGUGAGAUUAUUCUCCCUAUAAAAUAAUAGAUAUUUUCUAUUUAAAAAGGAUGAUUAGGAUGUAAACUUAUUUUUAUUUAAAGUUAUUUUUUCCAACUAUUGCAGUAGAAACUUCUACCAAUUUAGGUGUAGUUUCAACCACGGUAGUUAAGCAUUCAUGUAUAGCAUUAAUUACAGCAAUUGGAUUCAAAUGUCAAAUGUAUCAACGCAAAUACUAGAUUUGAAUAUAUAUGCAUUUUACAACUUGAAGUAUCAUUGUAACUAUACUAUUUAUAAACUGACCGUUUUUAACGCAAGUGGCAAAAGGUUUGGUAAUUGAUACCCGAAGUCCCCAAUUCGAAUGCACCCCAAUACAAUGUGCCCUCCUAAACAAAAUUUUCAUUUUUGUUUUUUUUUUUUUGAGGGCCCUGAAAUUUUGUUUUACUCCAAAAAAUUGUGCGGUUUUAGCAAAUAUAUAAUGUAUUAUGAAACUGUGUUCCUACGUUUGUUUGGAUACGUUAUAUUCAUUAUCGUGAAAUAUAAUGCCAAAUGUGUUUUUAUGAUAUCAUCCGUUCGAUUAUAUUAUGCAUUAUUUUAUAUUUAUUUUAAAUCUUAAUUAAUCUUUUUAGUAUUUUUUAAUAAUAUUAUCAAGUUCUUAUUAUUCUGAACUACAGAAUUUUAUCUAAUGGGUGACAAUGAAGCACUUGUCACUUUUUGUCACAGGAUUAUCCUUAUUUUGUUUAAUUUCUCUUCACCAGUUCGAUUCUUUAAAUCACAUGUGAAAAAUCCCUCUCCUUUGGCAUUAUUGUAAUAAUAUUCAUCACAUCUUGGAUCGUUACCGAUUGAGACAUGUAUAAUCAUAAGGUCCUUGUGUCUUCAUCGAAUAAUGCGUUCUAUCAAUAUCAGUCAAUAUACGUCACUGAUACAACCAUUUGUUAAAUAUAAAAAUAUUUAAAUAUCGCUUUUUAUCAUCUUAAAUUUUUAGAGUAUAACGAUUAUUUGUAUUAUUUCGAGUCGUAUCGGGCAGCUACCAUUAUUUUUUUUUUUAUUUAAUUUUCUAUUCGUUUAAGCUUUUAAAGUACAACGGUUGUUUGUAUUACUUCAAAUGGCAUCAGAGAAAUAGGUUUCGAGAUCGAGUCAUACCAGGCUCGUAACAUUAUUAAUUUUCUUUUAUUUAAUUUUCUAUCAGUUUAAGAAAAAUUUGAUUUGUCUUGACCACAUAUGUCAUUUUCAUUACCAAUUUACUACUGCGAUGUGAAUGCUCGUAAAUACAGAUAGAUCCAUAAGAAACCAAAAGUAUGUAUCGAAUAAUAGAGGUCUGGGUCCGACCUUCCCAAAAAACUUCCAAAAAUAUAUUAUAACACGUGAAGCUGAGGACAAGAGUUUAUAUAUAUAUAAAUAAUAAAUUAAUUAUAUACUAUAUAUAUAUUAGUAUAUAUACCUUUGAUCUAAACUGAAAUACUAAUCAUACACCAAGCUAUUGGUGCUGUUAGGUUUUCGGUAUUUGGAUGAAAAAUAUACGAUUAGGAUGAUAUGGGUCCUCUAGAGUUGAGGGAGUUAUUUGUUUAAUAGUAUAAUCUAAUGGGUGAAAAUAGUCAAAGGGUUAAAUCUAACGGCGAAAAAUUUGAUAGUAUCAAAUGCUUGGCGCUAUCGAUAGUAUCCCAACUGUACUCUAUAUAUAUAUAUAUAUAUAUAUAUAUAUAUAUAUAUAUAUAUAUAUAUAUAUAUAUAUAAAAAGAGAAAGAGAGUAGGUCUUGUGUGCUAUUAGGAGCACGGAAGUCNAAAACAAAAGGUAUCUUAUAUAAAGGAACUAUUGGUCCAAUAAUUAAUAAGCUUAAGAAUGUAUAUGUGCAACAAACGGGAGGUCUCAUUUUCAUGUGUGUCAUGUUAUUAUCAAGUAGUUAUUACAAGUAAUGUACUCAUGUUUAUGCACAAAUACAUCCUGAUGAUUAUUAAAUUGGUUUGGCCUUAAUAGGAAGGAAUUAUUUGCACACCCAAUGUGUUUGCACCUAAUUUUAAUAACUAAUAUUUUGAAAUUAAAAUCUAAUUUUAUGAAUAGAAUUUAUAACUGUUGGGCUAGAAACCAAAUGCGGGGCGACAAUGGCCGAAUCAAUGCGAUGACCAUAUCAGACACCUCCUCGGGAUAUGAGUCGACUCAUGAGAUGACCCACGAAUGCGCCACUAUCAAUUCAAGCAAUUCGAUUAAGGAGAGAUCGGCCCAACCGUACUUUUCUGCUAAUUAUUCACAAGUGAACAGCAAAGCAAGCUCGGCUAUAAGAGCCGAACAAUUUAUACUGAUUGAAAAAGUGCGAUACAAAAGCUGUUACAAAGGCUAAAUCUAAUACUAGAAAAGCUCCUAAACAAACACCUGAUUAUGCUCUUAACCAAGCUCUUAAAAGUAGUAGAAAGAAAAUUUGUGGGCUAUUCCUUUGAAGCUGUGAAUGCUGGGAAUUGAAAUUAACUGAAAUUUGUUUUGGUCGCUUGCUCGUGUGAAGGAUUUCGAUCACAGACGUGUUUUUUUCUAUUUAUAGUAAUGUAUUCUCCCGCAUGCAGUUAUUAGUUAAUUCUUAUCGUCGAGGUUUUUUUGGAAUAUCCCGAUUUUUACGGGUUAUGCUUCGGCUGAUACUUUGCUGGUCACGAAAUCUUUCCUUCACGUCUCUAACCGUUCUUAUCUAAACCGCUCUUCUAUUCAGGAGUUUUUCUCUUUGGCUGCCGGUAUACCACGUGUCACCUUUUGUUUUGUUCCUGCUGUUUUCGAACCGCUUAUCAUGUAGCACUAUUUUUCUGACGCCAACAAUAAUAUUAAAAAGGACUAUGCAUAAAAGAAAAAAUUAAUACUAGUUUGAUUUGAAAAUGGUUUACAUAAGGGUGCGUUCGGUUCAAUGUAAAAAUAUAAAAAUUAAUUUUUUAUGAAAAAUAAAGUUCGGCGGAAAAAAAGUUUUAUAUUCCUUUGAUUUGUGGAAAAAAAAAAUAUCCAUCAAUAUAUAUAUACUUAGUUCAAAGAAAAAAAAAACACAUUUAUUUGAUUCAGUCGAAAAAAAAUUUUUACACAGUUUAAAUUUUUAUUUUCCACUGUAAAAUAACAGAAAACGAACCUUUCUAAUUUUUCUCUAAAAUUCAUAAAAAAUAUUUUAUAAAUAAAUAUUUUUUAUAUAGAUAAAAAAAAUUUAAAAAAAUCGUACUAAAUUCGAUUUGUUUUAUGCGGAACUAAAGGCCGCUGAGCAGUUCUUGACAGAAUAAGGGCAGGUUUUUUUUUUUUUUUGGGGUGGGGGGGACAUCGUGAUUUUUCAAAGUUGUGCAUUACACUCCGUACAGAUACUUGUCUGACAAUUAAUUUUUUUUUUAUAUAGCGUAAUAAAUUAAUCAAGUAUUUCUUUUUAGAGAUAUAUGUUCCAUCAUGAUUAUAAAAAAAUAUUUUUAUUAUAUUUUUAUUUUUUUUAAAAAAAUAUGAUUGAUUUUGUUAUUGAUAACGUGAUACAAGUAUGACAGUAUAGAAUUCUUCCAAUUGAGGACGGGGACAAGUCGACAAACACGUGGACAAACGUGUAUUAUUAUAUUAUAUUAUAUAUUUAUUAUUAUGAUAAGAAAUUGUGUGGACGCCCGGUCGUCUUGUCAUCGCACGGCAACAGGAUAAGAUCUCGUCUGGACCACCCCCGGUCGUCUAAUCAUCACAAAACCAGAAAGUAAGAUCUACAGGAUAAGAUCCAAAUGUGGGCGCCCACUGCCCACUAGCAAUGUGAAACGUACUACUAGAAUUUAAAAAUAAUUAUUAUAUAUAUACACUCUGACUAUUAUAUUUUUAUGAGCUCGAUCGUUUUCGUACUCAUAAAUUAUUUUUUGAUAAUAGAAUUUUCAAAUCGAUAAUUCAUACCGUUAUAUAUUAUCUAAAAUAUUUAAAACUUCUAAAAAUCAGAUUUUUAUAAUUUUUUGAUAUUAUUUAUUUUUCGAUUAAAAGAUCUCAGAAUUGAUAAUUUUUAAUGACCGGUAUGGUUACUUGCUAGUUUAAUGGUGUAAAAAAAUCGAAAUCUGUUGAUUUUUUGAUAGAAAAUUCUAUUCACUGUCUAGAUAAAGACUAAUAACUCCGAUUUUAAAUUCAAGGAUCCGAUCAUCCAUUUUUAUAACAUCGUUCGAUUUUGACUAUUUAUUUUAUGCCCACUUAAUAGAUUUUAUUAUGAUCUCGAAAAAUUACGAAACUUAUUUUUUAGAAAUUUCAAAUACUCUAAAUCAUAUUUAACGAAGUGGGUCAUCGAUUCGGAAGCUCCAUCAUCGAAAAUAAUUUAUGAGUAAAAAAGGCUCUAUACUUAUAAG
rnacentral:lncRNA from 1 species